rnacentral:rRNA from 1 species
AUGGAAAUCAUUGGCAGCAGCAAUACGCGUGUUGUCCCGGGACCUUUAUCGCAUGUGGUGCCUAAUUCUAGACCCAAGGCUCCUCCAGUGGGCUAUACAAAAAUUCAUGUUGACGCAGGGGUUAGAUUCGAGCGUGAAGGUUCCGCAGCUGCUAUUUGUAGGGAUGACCAAGGAUUUUAUCUUGGAAGCUCUGCACUUGUUAUCUUUGGUGUCUGCGACCCUACUGUUUUGGAGGCGAUUGCAUGUCGAGAGGCAUUAGCAUUGGCAGAGGACCUCAAUUUACAACAGUUCAUCAUUGCCUCGGAUUGCAAGCAAGUUGUCUUAGACAUUUCUAAGGGGGCCAGAGGCCGGUAUGGCGCUAUCAUUAGCGAAAUAAAUCUCAACGCUACUAAGUUUAAUUGUAAGUUUGGGUUUGAGGGUCGUGCCGCAAACUAUGAGGCACAUAGACUAGCGAAAUUUGCUCUUUCUCAGGGUCCAGGACGCCAUGUGUGGUUUGGGAAUCUCCAUGACCCUCCUUGUAUCCCACUUCAAAACCCAAACUAA